UACGAAGGGAGCUAGCGUUGUUCGGAAUUACUGGGCGUAAAGGGCGCGUAGGCGGUUCAAUAAGUCAGUGGUGAAAUACGGCAGCUCAACUGUCGAGGUGCCAUUGAUACUGUUGGACUUGAGUACAGACGAGGUAGGCGGAAUUGACGGUGUAGCGGUGAAAUGCUUAGAUAUCGUCAAGAACACCGAUAGCGAAGGCAGCUUACUAGGCUGUAACUGACGCUGAGGCACGAAAGUGUGGGGAUCAAACAGG
rnacentral:rRNA from 1 species